rnacentral:pre_miRNA from 1 species
GGCUACUCGGAGGCUAGUUGUGUUGGAGGGUCUGAGGUCGGGGGUUACUGCUGGUGCGGGAUCCACGUUGACUGGGCGUCCGCGCUAAGCUC